ACAGAGCACAAAUCUGUAUGCCUCCAGUCAACCCACAUACAAUGAGUCUGAAAGGAACCUGCGGCAAGAAUCGUUGUCAACAAACAUCUAAUUUCAGUUUCAAAUUGUUUGAGUGGAGAAGCAGACAUGGAUGAGAAUGAUCCUAAUGUAAACCAAGAGGAGGGGCAAUCAAUCACCUUCCAUCCACCACAUGACUGCAGGGAGACUGGUGCACAUUCAUAAGAAUUAUUAAUUAUUAUUAUUAUUUAAUAACUUCUCUGUCAGAUAUUAGCCAGGAGAUUAUAAACAACAUUGAACUACA